CGACGGCGUCAGCCUCGAAGCUCAGCCGAAGCGUGCGGCAUUCAUAAGAGACCCAGGCAUUGCUAGGAGAACGCUGACUAAGAGACAACGGCCCAGUGACAGCAGGAACUUCCCAGACGGCGAGGGAAGGUCUUUUGCACCUGACACGGAGUGGCAUCUCCAGAUAAGUCGAGGGCUAUGACGCACAGAGGGGAUGAUAGUGGGGUGCUGGUUUGGGACUUACAGGGAGGGAUUUUUGAGUCUGCUUUGGAGAUGGGGAUGUCCAAGAAGUGGCCCCUUAGGCCACAGAAAAGCCAGGUGUCACUUUUGAUCCCAGUGCUGAGGUGCGCAGGGCAGAGCAGUCCCGGAGGGUAUCGUGUCACUUGUCUAUUGUGCGUUCUGUGUGUUUGGCUUUCUCAUGUCUUUUACCUUAGCCCUUUGAGGGGCCUCUCAGAAACCCUGGCAUCAUUCUUAGCAUCUGUGAUCUCUGCAUUUCUUGGCCUGGCACCAAUGCCACAGGACUUUUGACUCAGGAGCUCGGGCAGGCAUCAGAAUUGCACCUCUCUUUAGAAGCAUCCAGUCAGAUGUCUUUGCAGGUCUUGUUCUGAGCUGUAUGGACAGCUGUACCUUGCAAGGAUCCAUUACUGGGGAUUAGGACUUGUAAGAACAUGAGGAUAGGUAGAGGAUUCUGACCUUAGGAUUCACAUGCAUCCAUCUUUGCAGUUCUUAAAAGAAAUCAUUCAGUUAGCAUCUUUUUCCUGCAGGGUUCUCUGAGCCUCAUCGGCUCACCAUCAGUCUCAUCCUGGUCAUCUAAUCUUGCGUUCUCUCAGUCCUUGCAGUCAUUCUUCUUGCCAAGAGAUUCCUGUCCCUGUUGUGUCCCCCUUGUUUGUCCUGUCCAGUGUCACGGGUGUCUGCACAUAUUUGUGCCGGAGCUGCUCUGCCCUGCUGCAUAGUCUGGUGUAAUAGGACAAAUCCUGGGGGCUUGAAAUUUGUAGUGUGGGCUGUAGUUGGACUCUAGAUUAUAUUCCUAGGCUGACCCAAGAUGUCUGGAGCUGUGAAGUUGUCCUGCAGCCCUUUGACAUUUGUCCUGACUUUCUUUCAGAUGCAGAUGGAUAAAAUCCAUGGCAGAGCGCCCCAUCCCAGGAAGUAAAGCAAUAUAGCAACAGUCAAGUUGAAG